rnacentral:rRNA from 1 species
GACGAACGCUGGCGGCGUGCUUAACACAUGCAAGUCGAACGCUGAAGCUCAGCUUUUGUUGGGUGGAUGAGUGGCGAACGGGUGAGUAACACGUGAGUAACCUGCCCCCUUCUUUGGGAUAACGCCCGGAAACGGGUGCUAAUACUGGAUAUUCACUGGUCUUCGCAUGGGGGUUGGUGGAAAGGGUUUUUCUGGUGGGGGAUGGGCUCGCGGCCUAUCAGCUUGUUGGUUGGGUGAUGGCCUACCAAGGCUUUGACGGGUAGCCGGCCUGAGAGGGUGACCGGUCACAUUGGGACGGAGAUACGGCCCAGACUGCUACGGGAGGCAGCAGUGGGGAAUAUUGCAAAAUGGGCGCAAGCCUGAUGCAGCGACGCCGCGUGAGGGAUGGAGGCCUUCGGGUUGUGAACCUCUUUCGCUCAUGGUCAAGCCGCAACAAUGGUUGUGGUGAGGGUAGUGGGUAAAGAAGCGCCGGCUAACUACGUG